GGCCUGUUGGUCUAGGGAUAUGAUUCCUGCUUUGGGUGCAGGAGGUCCCGGGUUCAAAUCCCGGACAGGCCC
rnacentral:tRNA from 1 species